UACGAAGGGGGCUAGCGUUGUUCGGAAUUACUGGGCGUAAAGGGCGCGUAGGCGGCUGUGCAAGUCAGGUGUGAAAGCCCUGGGCUCAACCCAGGAUGUGCACUUGAUACUGCGCAGCUAGAGUGUCGGAGAGGAUGGUGGAAUUCCCAGUGUAGAGGUGAAAUUCGUAGAUAUUGGGAAGAACACCGGUGGCGAAGGCGACUCACUGGACACAUAUUGACGCUGAGGUGCGAAAGCGUGGGGAGCAAACAGG
rnacentral:rRNA from 1 species